GGCGCAGGCGGCUUUUCAAGUCGGGUGUAAAAUCUCCCAGCUUAACUGGGAGGGACCAUUCGAUACUGUUAAGAUUGAGGGCAACAGGGGGAGGUAGAAUUUCCGGUGUAGUGGUGGAAUGCGUAGAUAUCGGAAGGAAUACCAGUGGCGAAGGCGGCCUCCUGGGUUGUCACUGACGCUUAAGCCCGAAGGCGUGGGGAGCAAACA
rnacentral:rRNA from 1 species